GGGGGUGUCAGUUUUGACACGAGACAUGCGUUGUUCGUGGCAAGCAGAGUUAGGGUCAACUCUUUAAACUACCCUGAAACUUAAGUGCAGACUCUAUUGUCGCACGAGCCAAGUCAAUUGUUUCUCCGUAUUUUGCGAGAAACGACUUCGCUUUCGCUUACGUUCGAGUUUAAUACUCGAUCUCUGUGAACAUCUUGAAACUUGCUAUCCAGCACGGGUCUCGUAGAUGCAUUAUCUGCUGGGUUGUAGUUCCAAUACUGCUCAUAUCGGAAUCAAACAAAGAGCUAUAACUUCCUGACGUUUCGUCUAAUUUUUAGUCCGGAAGUCGAGAAUCCAAGUUAGUCUAAGCUUGCUAGAUUCGUUCCACUCAUCCUCAUGGACAGGAGUUCAAUCUCCUCACCUCCACCA
rnacentral:tmRNA from 1 species